GGAGACAGUUGGCUGCUGUGAGGAGGACAAAGGAGAGUCAGUGCCUGGAGGAGCUGCCUGCAAGAAACAUCGAGGAGGAAUAUGAAAGAGAAGCAAGACAGAGCUAUUCUGGAAACCAUUGAAGGCAAAAAGAUAAAAUCAGAAUCAAUAGAAAGAUUUCAUCAGAACUUGGAAAUUCCAGCUUUGUUCACAGGGACUGGGAUCUACAUGCCAUGCAGGGGAAUAAACUUGGCAUAAAACUGGGGAGGAAACCAAAGCCAACCUUUAUGCUCAAGCUCCAGCCCUUCAUCUUUCAGCACAAGAACCUCACAAAACAAGAAUAUUGACAGCUGAGAGACAAAGUCUUCUGUUAGCAAAAACACAGUUCAGGUCACAGCUACCCACAGAGCACUGAGAGAGUGGGGCAACUAAGGAAUGGAUAUAUCUGCAAUUUGUUUUAAAGGUUUUUUAAAGCAGUAGGGUAAUAGUGCAUAUGUUAAACAUACUGUUGAUAAACCCUUAAAUGUGUGAAUUCCACAACCAGCAUGUGACUUCAAAAGGCAAACAUCAUCCUGUUGUGUAUCAAUAUAAUUUAUGAUGAUGUUCAAGAUUUCAUGGCUGUAUUGAAUUAGUAGAUUAAAAAUUUCUAUGAUA